rnacentral:tRNA from 1 species
GGAGAGGUGGCCGAGUGGUUUAAGGCGGCGGUCUCGAAAACCGUUGUGGGGGCGACUCCACCGGGGGUUCGAAUCCCCCCCUCUCCGCCA